rnacentral:rRNA from 1 species
GCCUAACACAUGCAAGUCGAGCGGAUGAGAAGAGCUUGCUCUUCGAUUCAGCGGCGGACGGGUGAGUAAUGCCUAGGAAUCUGCCUGGUAGUGGGGGACAACGUUUCGAAAGGAACGCUAAUACCGCAUACGUCCUACGGGAGAAAGCAGGGGACCUUCGGGCCUUGCGCUAUCAGAUGAGCCUAGGUCGGAUUAGCUAGUUGGUGAGGUAAUGGCUCACCAAGGCGACGAUCCGUAACUGGUCUGAGAGGAUGAUCAGUCACACUGGAACUGAGACACGGUCCAGACUCCUACGGGAGGCAGCAGUGGGGAAUAUUGGACAAUGGGCGAAAGCCUGAUCCAGCCAUGCCGCGUGUGUGAAGAAGGUCUUCGGAUUGUAAAGCACUUUAAGUUGGGAGGAAGGGCAUUAACCUAAUACGUUAGUGUUUUGACGUUACCGACAGAAUAAGCACCGGCUAACUCUGUGCCAGCAGCCGCGGUAAUACAGAGGGUGCAAGCGUUAAUCGGAAUUACUGGGCGUAAAGCGCGCGUAGGUGGUUUGUUAAGUUGGAUGUGAAAGCCCCGGGCUCAACCUGGGAACUGCAUCCAAAACUGGCAAGCUAGAGUACGGUAGAGGGUGGUGGAAUUUCCUGUGUAGCGGUGAAAUGCGUAGAUAUAGGAAGGAACACCAGUGGCGAAGGCGACCACCUGGACUGAUACUGACACUGAGGUGCGAAAGCGUGGGGAGCAAACAGGAUUAGAUACCNUGGUAGUCCACGCCGUAAACGAUGUCAACUAGCCGUUGGAAUCCUUGAGAUUUUAGUGGCGCAGCUAACGCAUUAAGUUGACCGCCUGGGGAGUACGGCCGCAAGGUUAAAACUCAAAUGAAUUGACGGGGGCCCGCACAAGCGGUGGACCAUGUGGUUUAAUUCGAAGCAACGCGAAGAACCUUACCAGGCCUUGACAUGCAGAGAACUUUCCAGAGAUGGAUUGGUGCCUUCGGGAACUCUGACACAGGUGCUGCAUGGCUGUCGUCAGCUCGUGUCGUGAGAUGUUGGGUUAAGUCCCGUAACGAGCGCAACCCUUGUCCUUAGUUACCAGCACGUUAUGGUGGGCACUCUAAGGAGACUGCCGGUGACAAACCGGAGGAAGGUGGGGAUGACGUCAAGUCAUCAUGGCCCUUACGGCCUGGGCUACACACGUGCUACAAUGGUCGGUACAGAGGGUUGCCAAGCCGCGAGGUGGAGCUAAUCUCACAAAACCGAUCGUAGUCCGGAUCGCAGUCUGCAACUCGACUGCGUGAAGUCGGAAUCGCUAGUAAUCGCGAAUCAGAAUGUCGCGGUGAAUACGUUCCCGGGCCUUGUACACACCGCCCGUCACACCAUGGGAGUGGGUUGCACCAGAAGUAGCUAGUCUAACCUUCGGGAGGACGGUUACC